AGAAGGAACGAACCCUGCUCACACCUGGAUCCCAGACUUCUAGCUUCCAGGACGGAGAAAAUAAAUGUUGUUGAAGCCGCCUACCCUAUGGUACUUUAUUAUGGAAGCCCUAGCACACUAAUACAUUAAGAAUAAGGAAGAAAUGGUUUCACAAAUUAUAUUGCAUCAAUGUGAACUCUCUUUGGGCACAAACACAGGAUAAACAUCUGUCAGAUAGGAUUAAAGUGCCUGUGUGCCACUGAGGAAUGGGAUGAAGAGAGAAGGAAGAUAAUAAGAAGAGAAGGCAAGAAGAAGAAGAAGAAUCAAACAGACAGAAAUGGAACUUCCCUCAAAGGUGGUGCAGACCUGCCUGGGGCCCCUGAGAGCAGGAAGGCUUUCCUCCUGAAUCCAGCAGAGCUCUUCUCACCACGUGGCCAGAGUCUGCCUUCUGCAUGAAUGUCAUUGCCUAAGUGACUUCGAGAUGCAGAUGGAGCGUGGUUUCACCCUCAGUCUCUCCUCCUCUGGUUCACGCCCAUGUCUGAUUCCUGGGCAUCGCUUUGCCUCAGAAAGCCACCUCCAGUCUUUCCCACCCACUUCCAAUUUGCCCUUGCCCCUUCCUCCAAGCCAAGGCAGUGGUUGUAUAAACAUAGCUGUAUGUACAACACUCAGCUUUUACACUGGUCUCCAUUGAAUGAGUAAUCGCAUUACCAACCUUCUAAGCAAGUCGGCUCCCUCAGGACUGCCGUCUUCCAGCCCUCGUAGUACGAAAAUGAUUCAUUAGUCCCUUCAUCACAAUAACAUGAGUCACAUGUUAUGAAAAGCUAGGAGGAUGUAUUUUGUGUACACUGAAAUCUAAGGUUUGCAAAUUUCUGCAAUUUAACUUUAUUGAGGAGGGAGUGGGGUAGAAAUGAAUUCCACAUUUUUUCUAAGUACGAAAACCCACAUCAGGCAACAUCUGCUUAAGUCAGUCUCCAAGGACUCAAUGUAAACGGUUGUUGAUAUAAAUAGAUGUGUUUUUAAGCAAAGACAGAUGUCCCAGCCCCAAAUGUUAAGAAAACAAUUAAGUUCAAAGACAUGUUGGUUUUCAUUUCUUUCCCAAUAGGUGAAUCUUCACUGGGCUAUGACAAUGAGGGGUGGAAGAGAGAACACUGUGUUUCCCUGUGGAAAGCAAUUCCUGACUAUGCAGCCAGCUCUACUCCAGGGAAGAGAAGGCUCAGUCUCUCCCUUCAAAGAGUCUGUUUCUGGAUGCUGGCAGUCAUUCAGAAACAUUUGCUGAGCACCUCGUACCUGCUGAAUGAACCCACGUGAAGGGGAGCCAGGAGUGCGGAUCAUUAAAAAGCCUGUACUUUCUCAGUCCCCAUUUGACACCACAGAGAGAAAAUGCAUGCUCCUGAUUUGGGUAGAUCUAGAAUGUUCUUAUGAAUAUGGUAGGUGGAGCAAGGGAUCCAGGUUCUUAUGAUACAUGAUAAGAAAGGCCCUAGCUUGGUCAGACACAAAUAAAAGCCAAGCUUUUCAUCUAAACUCCCUUGCACCAUCACCCCCUUACCAACCAGUACAGAGAGCUUAACAUCUCUAUACCAGAUAGUGAAUGUUUCUAAUAAGAAUGGCAAAUUCUUAUUGUGAGAGAGAUAAGGGCAUUCAAGUGUUAAUUCAAGAGAAAUAUGUAUAUGGUUCUUUAAAUGAUUUAUUUACUAACAGCAUUAAGUAUGGUGUAAAGGAAUUUACAUACCCUAAUUCUCGUCUAUAUAUUUUUUUGGAUUUUAAAAUGACAACUUGUCUAAGUUCGCAUUAGUAUUAAGCCCUAACAUGAGACAGUAUUUAUAGCAUAAGAUUUUUGCCACCUAUUUUUAAUUGUAGCGCUGUUUUAUCAAUAAGAUCAAUUAAAGAGUUGAACAUUUGAAAAGAAGAAACAUGAAAAUGAAUUUCUAACUGUACGGUAUUGAAUACAUGAAAGUUCUCUUAAACUUAGUCCAGAGUCUCAAUAAACAUGGUAAGUAUGUAAUAAUUCACAUUUACAACCGCCAUAAAAACUCUAUCAACCAAAUUAUUUUAUGACGUCAAAAUUAUCUGAAAAAAAUUGAGGAACUAAAAUUUUUAAAAAUAGGUUCUCAGUUAGAGCUGUCUAUUAAAAGGAUAAAUUUUAAACUCUCCGGAGCUGGCCUUCCUGGUUCCAGGAGCAGCCUGUUGGCCUUCUCUCGCAAAGCUCAGUUCCUUUCCUCCAUUCCAGAAGACCCUCAAGCCUGUCCCAUGCACCUGGUUUUACAUUUUUAAAUGUUAAAAGGAAGACCACCGUGAAAGAUUGGCAUGUUAAUAGUAGGCUAAGGCGACAGGUGCUGGGGCUCCGGCUUAGAGAUCCCCACAGAUUCCAUGCUCCCAGGGCUGGCUGCAGCCAUCUGCCCCCACCCACCCCCACCCGGCCCAGCCCUCCCCUCCUGGAGGUGGAAUCGUGGCUUGCACAAUCCCCUCUGGGCCCCUGGGGGAGGCGCACCAUAUUGAUUUUUUGGACUUCGUUUCUGUGUGUCUCACCAGUCUUUGCCCGGCACAGUGACUCACUGGCGUCCCUUUCAGGACUUUCUCCCGCCUGAUAACAUCUAAAUGACUCAUGCCUACACCACCUGGAGAGCUCAGGGAAGGCACGGUUUGUUCAGGCCACCCUCACUCCAAGGGCCAGCCCUUUUUUGGAAUAGAAACUAAAAGUUGGUAGCUUCCAUUUGUAGUUCCAUCUAACAGAAGAGCCGACCCACUCACAUUAGCUGGCUCACGACUAAGGCAACCAAUGCCUCCCAGAACAUAGACUCAACUGGCAACCCCGGCACUGAAGGUCAAGGUGAGUCAAAGACACUCAUGCAGAAGGGUGGAUGCUCUUCCAAGUGUGACUGGCUGGCCUGCACGGCUCACUGCCUCCCCUCCUCCCGUCAAGAUGCAGCUUCAGUUUAAACCACCUUCGUUCCAUUCAUCAAAGAGGAAUAUUUACUGUUAUUGUAAUGACUCUUCUCACAGUACACAAGGCUACACCUGAAACACACAGGCCUUUCAGAAAGCACAAAGGAGCAUUGUGCAAGCCCCUGCCCAGUGAGAUGGAUGGGGGCGUAGACACGCCAGUUAACAGCCGGGCUUUGCAGGCCAGCAAGACUUAUCUGUGGCCGCACCAUGGCCACUGAGCUUGUACCUUUCUUCUUUUAAAAAUUGCUCCUUCAUUAUAAGCAGAGUUAAAUACCUGCACAUGUGAUUUGUGUUGAAAUAAUAAAGCAACAAACACACAUCAAGCUGAGGAGAGAAUCUUGGCUAAGGUAGGAAGUCGUGGGUCUGGUCUCAGUCUGUGCUGCUGACCAACUGUAAGAACUCAGAACUCACUGUCCACUCAGGACCACAGUGUCUCAUCUGAAAGGACGAGGAGACUGGAACACACCAGAGCCAUGGUUCUCAAUGUGUGGUCCAGAGGCCCUCGGGGGUCCCUGAGCCUCUUUCUGGGGAUCUGUGAGGUCAAAACUACUUUCACAAGUAUGGUUUGCCUUUUUCACUCUCACUCUCUCAUGCUUGAACAAUGGAAUCUUCUAAAGGCUUCCUGACACGUGAUGCUACAAUGGAUGGAAUCCAGAGGUGGAUAGGAGAAGCCAGCUGCCUUCUAUUAAACCAGAAAUGAAGAACAUUUGCAGAAAUGUACAACAAUGCCAUGCUUCCCAUUAAUUAUUUUGUUCUUGCUUUAGAAUAUGUCACUUUUCAUUGAAAAAUGUUACUCAUGAUUUUAUGUAAAAGGUUUAUUGUUGUUACUUUUAAAUACAUAUUUUAAGUGUUUUUUAGUUUUGAUUUCUAAUAUGGCAAAAAUUGGUAAAAUCACAUACACAAGGGCUUUUGGGGAUCCUCAAAACUUUUUAAGAGUGUAAAGGGAUCCAGAGACCAAAAGUUUGAUAACCACUAACCAAAAACUUUGACAACCAUCAUCUUGAAGGGUCCUUGGACUUUCUGGAAUUUGGAUCUCCCUUGCCUUGUUCAGUUUUCUCUCUUUUUAGCCAUCUCGUACUUACUGCCAUUUCAGUUCCUAUGUACCUGACUUAUUAAUUAUGCUUAUUGUUUACCAUGUGUGUUCCCCUCCCAUAUAAACUCCAUGAGGACUGAGAUAUUUGUCCAUGAUGUUCAUCAGUGCAUCCCAGGCUGCCUAGAACUGGGCCUGGCCCUUAGCAGGCACUUGUUUUUGGAUGGGAGGGAGGAGAAGGGAGGGGAGAGGGCAAGUUCUUUCAGUGUCUGUAUAAUGGACAGAGCAAGGUGUACCACCUCGGUGUGAUAGAAGAGAUGGAGACAGGAGAAAGGAAGCUCUGCACAGGAUCACGUGGUAGGUGGCAAAGUCAGGGCUCCAUCACAGCUUCUGUUGUCACAUGACUCUGUUAUCUGACCCUUUAAGGCAGCCCCUUCUGCUCCAACAGAGCUUCAGGGUAACUGAGUGCCCCGCAAUUGGUGUUAGC
rnacentral:lncRNA from 1 species